CCUACGGGAGGCAGCAGUGGGGAAUAUUGGACAAUGGGCGAAAGCCUGAUCCAGCAAUGCCGCGUGAGUGAAGAAGGCCUUCGGGUUGUAAAGCUCUUUUACCCGGGAAGAUAAUGACCGUACCGGGAGAAUAAGCCCCGGCUAACUCCGUGCCAGCAGCCGCGGUAAUACGGAGGGGGCUAGCGUUGUUCGGAAUCACUGGGCGUAAAGCGUGCGUAGGCGGCCAUUCAAGUCAGAGGUGAAAGCCCAGGGCUCAACCCUGGAACUGCCUUUGAAACUAGGUGGCUGGAACACGGGAGAGGUGAGUGGAAUUCCGAGUGUAGAGGUGAAAUUCGUAGAUAUUCGGAAGAACACCAGUGGCGAAGGCGGCUCACUGGACCGUUGUUGACGCUGAGGCACGAAAGCGUGGGGAGCAAACAGGAUUAGAUACCCUGGUAGUCCACGCCGUAAACGAUGAUA
rnacentral:rRNA from 1 species